AUUUAUAAAAUAUAAGGCAACUUUUUCAUAUUUUCUUAUAUAGUUAAAAAUAAAGCGCGCUAUUCAAAUUGCAUUACUCCUAUGUCGUUUUAUUUAAGAUUUAAAUGUUUCUUUUUGUAAUUUUAUAAGAAUUUCAAAUGUCAACCAAAGCACGUUUUGUAUGAAACGUGGAAGCGCAUUACACUUAAAUGUACACACGGUUCUGAUAUUAAAAACACAUCAAACAUAAAAAAAAAACAUUUAAUUAAGAUAAUAACAUUUCAAUGCUAAAAUCCGGAAAUGACGACUGAAAUCAAGCUUUUCGUUGGUGUUAUUUCAGAUAACUAUUGAAUCAUGUAUUAAAAAGAUCUUAUAAAAGUAGUGUUACCCUUUACACAUAUUGAUGUACCUGUCUCAAUUCAGGAAAAUCAUCAGUUGUUGUCUGAUGACAUGUCUUAAUGUUUUUUGCUAUUUGGAGAAUUUGGUGUUGAUGGCAGAUCUUCGAUUGUUUCUGUGUAAUUUAUUAACAAUUUGUAUAGACUCUGAACCAUUUAGAGCUGAUAUAUUGAUAGUUUUACAUUGACAUAAGAGCGAGAGUUGUUUCCCUUUUUCGCCAUUUUGUAAAGCAAUGUACACAAAAUCCUUAA
rnacentral:lncRNA from 1 species